rnacentral:rRNA from 1 species
GAUGAACGCUGGCGGCGUGCCUAAUACAUGCAAGUCGAGCGAACGGACGAGAAGCUUGCUUCUCUGAUGUUAGCGGCGGACGGGUGAGUAACACGUGGAUAACCUACCUAUAAGACUGGGAUAACUUCGGGAAACCGUAGCUAAUACCGGAUAAUAUUUUGAACCGCAUGGUUCAAAAGUGAAAGACGGUCUUGCUGUCACUUAUAGAUGGAUCCGCGCUGCAUUAGCUAGUUGGUAAGGUAACGGCUUACCAAGGCAACGAUGCAUAGCCGACCUGAGAGGGUGAUCGACCACACUGUAACUGAGACACGGUCCAGACUCCUACGGGAGGCAGCAGUAGGGAAUCUUCCGCAAUGGGCGAAAGCCUGACGUAGCAACGCCGCGUGAGUGAUGAAGGUCUUCGGAUCGUAAAGCUCUGUUAUUAGGGAAGAACAUAUGUGUAAGUAACUGUGCACAUCUUGACGAUACCUAAUCAGAAAGCCACGGCUAACUACGUG